UCUAGAGAUUAGUUUGAUCCUGGCUCAGAAUCAACGCUGGCGGCGUGCCUAAUACAUGCAAGUCGUACGCGAAGACCCCGCAAGGGGUUGUUAGCGUGGCAAACGGGUGAGUAACGCGUGGGCGACCUGCCUUCGAGUGGGGGAUAACCUUCCGAAAGGAGGGCUAAUACCGCAUGACAUACCGUGUUUGGAUACACGGAUAUCAAAGCCGGGGAUCGCAAGACCUGGCGCUUGAAGAGGGGCCUACGUCCGAUUAGCUAGUUGGUGGGGUAACGGCACACCAAGGCGACGAUCGGUAUCCGGCCUGAGAGGGCGGACGGACACACUGGGACUGAGACACGGCCCAGACUCCUACGGGAGGCAGCAGUAGGGAAUUGUUCGCAAUGGGCGCAAGCCUGACGACGCAACGCCGCGUGGAGGAUGAAGGGCUUCGGCUCGUAAACUCCUUUCGACCGAGAUGAAUACCCGCAGGGCUAAUAUCCCUGCGGACUGACAGUAUCGAGGGAAGAAGCCCCGGCUAACUCCGUGCCAGCAGCCGCGGUAAUACGGGGGGGGCAAGCGCUGUUCGGAAUUACUGGGCGUAAAGGGUUCGUAGGUGGCCAACUAAGUCAUGCGUGAAAUCCCUCAGCUUAACUGAGGAACUGCGUUUGAUACUGGUUGGCUUGAGUGCAGGAGAGGAACGCGGAAUUCCAGGUGUAGCGGUGAAAUGCGUAGAUAUCUGGAGGAACACCGGUGGCGAAGGCGGCGUUCU
rnacentral:rRNA from 1 species